GACGAACGCUGGCGGCGUGCCUAAUACAUGCAAGUAGAACGCUGAAGAGAGGAGCUUGCUCUUCUUGGAUGAGUUGCGAACGGGUGAGUAACGCGUAGGUAACCUGCCUUGUAGCGGGGGAUAACUAUUGGAAACGAUAGCUAAUACCGCAUAACAAUGGAUGACACAUGUCAUUUAUUUGAAAGGGGCAAUUGCUCCACUACAAGAUGGACCUGCGUUGUAUUAGCUAGUAGGUGAGGUAAUGGCUCACCUAGGCGACGAUACAUAGCCGACCUGAGAGGGUGAUCGGCCACACUGGGACUGAGACACGGCCCAGACUCCUACGGGAGGCAGCAGUAGGGAAUCUUCGGCAAUGGGGGCAACCCUGACCGAGCAACGCCGCGUGAGUGAAGAAGGUUUUCGGAUCGUAAAGCUCUGUUGUAAGUCAAGAACGGGUGUGAGAGUGGAAAGUUCACACUGUGACGGUAGCUUACCAGAAAGGGACGGCUAACUACGUGCCAGCAGCCGCGGUAAUAUGUAGGUCCCGAGCGUUGUCCGGAUUUAUUGGGCGUAAAGCGAGCGCAGGCGGUUUGAUAAGUCUGAAGUUAAAGGCUGUGGCUCAACCAUAGUUCGCUUUGGAAACUGUCAAACUUGAGUGCAGAAGGGGAGAGUGGAAUUCCAUGUGUAGCGGUGAAAUGCGUAGAUAUAUGGAGGAACACCGGUGGCGAAAGCGGCUCUCUGGUCUGUAACUGACGCUGAGGCUCGAAAGCGUGGGGAGCGAACAGGAUUAGAUACCCUGGUAGUCCACGCCGUAAACGAUGAGUGCUAGGUGUUGGAUCCUUUCCGGGAUUCAGUGCCGCAGCUAACGCAUUAAGCACUCCGCCUGGGGAGUACGACCGCAAGGUUGAAACUCAAAGGAAUUGACGGGGGCCCGCACAAGCGGUGGAGCAUGUGGUUUAAUUCGAAGCAACGCGAAGAACCUUACCAGGUCUUGACAUCCCGAUGCUAUUUCUAGAGAUAGAAAGUUACUUCGGUACAUCGGUGACAGGUGGUGCAUGGUUGUCGUCAGCUCGUGUCGUGAGAUGUUGGGUUAAGUCCCGCAACGAGCGCAACCCCUAUUGUUAGUUGCCAUCAUUCAGUUGGGCACUCUAGCGAGACUGCCGGUAAUAAACCGGAGGAAGGUGGGGAUGACGUCAAAUCAUCAUGCCCCUUAUGACCUGGGCUACACGCGUGCUACAAUGGUUGGUACAACGAGUUGCGAGUCGGUGACGGCGAGCUAAUCUCUUAAAGCCAAUCUCAGUUCGGAUUGUAGGCUGCAACUCGCCUACAUGAAGUCGGAAUCGCUAGUAGUCGCGGAUCAGCACGCCGCGGUGAAUACGUUCCCGGGCCU
rnacentral:rRNA from 1 species